GAAAUGUAAUUGAAGAAAAUAUCUGAUUAAAAAUGUGGGAAAAAAGAAAAUGUGGUUUAUGUAAUAACAGGGUAAUGUUAUUGAGCUUUAAAUAUUAGAUGAAGUGUGUUAUUUUAACAAUAUCAGUUAACCUGGAAAGCAUAAUGCUAAGUAAAAUAUUCAGACACAAAAAUAACCAAACUAUGUAAUACCAUAUAUAUAAAGAAAUAAUCUGCAAUAGAAGCAGAGAUAGGGAGGGAACAAUUGGUAAUACCAGUGAAAAAAUUCAAAGUAUUUAAAGUUAUUCAAGAUGCACGCAUUGAUAAUAGGGAAAUAUAUAUAUAUAUAUAUAUAUAUAUAUAUAUAUAUAUAUAUAUAUAUAUAUAUAUGAGACUGAAGGUAACAAUAAUCUAUAAUUAAAAUUUUCUAAGAGAGUAAAUCUCAUGUUAAACAUCUCUCCCCCUCUGUCUUUCAAACACACACGACAGAGGGGAGGAACAAACUUUUGGAGCUGAAUGGUAUGUCUUGUAUAUGAAGAAUAAUAGCCCCAAUAAUAUAUGCUUAUCUUCAUGCUUACCAAUUAUAUUACAUUGCACAUAUGUAGUUUUGUAUGUAAGUUAUACUUGAAUAAAGAGCUUAAAAUGAAGAGUUUUUAUUUUAACUAAGAACUCAUUUCCAUUGUUUAAUGCAUUCAUGUUCACUAAAUUUAAAUAUGAUUACUCGUCUAAUCCUUUGACAUUCUGAGUACUAAUGUGUUGCUAGAAAGGGCAAUUGUGCUGUCAAAAAACCCCCAAAUUUAAAUGAAUUUUGACCCUGUAUAUUAGUUUGACUAUAUAUGGCGAAACUUUUAAAAUGACAAUUGGAAGGUUUUUUGUUAUGCAAAAGUAGUGUAGAGUUAGGUAGCUCAGACUUAGUUCUUUAAUGUCAUUGUCACAAGUGAGUUAGGAUCAUUUUUUCACCCUCUCUUAUGAUGUCUUUAAUAUUAUACAAGAUGGUUGCUUUUAUAUUACUGCAAGUUUGUAGCAAAAGGUAACGGGGAAAAAUGUAAAUUGAAUUCUUAAUCCUCUCCUAUAAGAAGUCUUCUAUAUUUCCUUGCAAAAGUUUUGUUUAUUUAUUAUUGGGACAACCUUAGUUAUCAGGAGAAAUUUACCUGCAAGAGAAGCUGGGGAAUAUAGUAUUUUAGUUGGUAUGCUCUCCAACAUACUGAUAUG
rnacentral:lncRNA from 1 species